CGGGUGAGUAACACGUGACUAACCUACCUCCGAGUGGGGAAUAACUCCGGGAAACCGGGGCUAAUACCGCAUAACAUCGCAAGAUCAAAGCAGCAAUGCGCUUGGAGAGGGGGUCGCGGCUGAUUAGCUAGUUGGCGGGGUAACGGCCCACCAAGGCGAAGAUCGGUAUCCGGCCUGAGAGGGCGCACGGACACACUGGAACUGAAACACGGUCCAGACUCCUACGGGAGGCAGCAGUGGGGAAUUUUGCGCAAUGGGGGAAACCCUGACGCAGCAACGCCGCGUGGAGGAUGAAGCCCUUUGGGGCGUAAACUCCUUUCGACUCGGACGAUAAUGACGGUACGAGUGGAAGAAGCACCGGCUAACUCUGUGCCAGCAGCCGCGGUAAUACAGAGGGUGCGAGCGUUGUUCGGAAUUAUUGGGCGUACAGGGCGCGUAGGCGGUGCGGUAAGUCACCUGUGAAACCUCCGGGCUUAACUUCGGAGCCUGCAGGCGAAACUGCCGUGCUGGAGUGUGGGAGAGGUGCGUGG
rnacentral:rRNA from 1 species